rnacentral:rRNA from 1 species
CCUACGGGAGGCAGCAGUAGGGAAUCUUCCACAAUGGGCGAAAGCCUGAUGGAGCAACGCCGCGUGGGUGAAGAAGGUCUUCGGAUCGUAAAACCCUGUUGUUAGAGAAGAAAGUGCGUGAGAGUAACUGUUUACGUUUCGACGGUAUCUAACCAGAAAGCCUCGGCUCACUACGUCCCAGCAGCCGCGGUAAUACGUAGGUGGCAUGCGUUAUCCGGAUUUAUUGGGCGUAAAGGGAACGCAGGCGGUCUUUUAAGUCUGCUGUGAAAGUCUUCGGCUUAACCGGGAUAGUGCAUUGGAAACUGGAGGACUUGAGUGCAGGGGAGGAAGGUGGAACUCGAUGUGUAGCGGUGAAAUGCGUAGAUAUAUGGAAGAACACCGGUGGCGAAGGCGGCUCUCUGGUCUGUAACUGACGCUGAAGUUCGAAAGCGUGGGUAGCAAACAGGAUUAGAUACCCCAGUAGUC